rnacentral:rRNA from 1 species
AGUGAACGCUGGCGGUAGGCCUAACACAUGCAAGUCGAACGGCAGCACAGUAAGAGCUUGCUCUUACGGGUGGCGAGUGGCGGACGGGUGAGGAAUACAUCGGAAUCUACUUUUUCGUGGGGGAUAACGGAGGGAAACUGACGCUAAUACCGCAUACGACCUACGGGUGAAAGCAGGGGAUCUUCGGACCUUUCGCGAUUGAAUGAGCCGAUGUCGGAUUAGCUAGUUGGCGGGGUAAAGGCACACCAAGGCGACGAUCCGUAGCUGGUCUGAGAGGAUGAUCAGCCACACUGGAACUGAGACACGGUCCAGACUCCUACGGGAGGCAGCAGUAGGGAAUCUUGGACAAUGGGCGCAAGCCUGAUCCAGCCAUACCGCGUGGGUGAAGAAGGCCUUCGGGUUGUAAAGCCCUUUUGUUGGGAAAGAAAAGCAGCAGGUUAAUACCCCGCUGUUCUGACGGUACCCAAAGAAUAAGCACCGGCUAACUUCGUG